rnacentral:rRNA from 1 species
GGGAUCCGUUUCCGUAGGUGAACCUGCGGAAGGAUCA